CCCUUAGAUGUUCUGGGCCGCACGCGUGCUACACUGAGUAAUUCAAUGGGUAAGGGAACGCUAGAGCAUUACCUAAUCUUGAAAUUUGCUCGUGAUGGGGAUCGACGGUUGCAAUUUUCCGUCGUGAACGAGGAAUACCUUGUAGGCGCAUGUCAUCAUCAUGCGCCGAAUACGUCCCUGCCCUUUGUACACACCGCCCGUCGCUCCUACCGAUUGAGUGAUCCGGUGAGGCUCUGGGACCUGGACGGAAAGAGCGUUUCGCCUGUUCUGUUUGGGAAACUUGGUCGAACCUUAUCAUUUAGAGGAAGGAGAAGUCGUAACA
rnacentral:rRNA from 1 species